GAUGAAGAACGUAGCGAAAUGCGAUAAGUAAUGUGAAUUGCAGAAUUCAGUGAAUCAUCGAAUCUUUGAACGCACAUUGCGCCCGCCAGUAUUCUGGCGGGCAUGCCUGUUCGAGCGUCAUUUCAACCAUCAAGCCCUGCUUGCGUUGGGGUCCUGCGGCUGCCCGCAGGCCCUGAAAACCAGUGGCGGGCUCGCUAGUCACACCGAGCGCAGUAAUACAUCUCGCUUUGGGCGUGCGGCGGGUUCUUGCCGUUAAACACCCCCUUUUUACCAAGGUUGACCUCGGAUCAGGUAGGAAUACCCGCUGAACUUAAGCAUAUCAAUAAGCGGAUGA
rnacentral:misc_RNA from 1 species